rnacentral:rRNA from 1 species
UACAGAGGUCUCAAGCGUUGUUCGGAUUCAUUGGGCGUAAAGGGUGCGUAGGCGGCGCGGUAAGUCGGGUGUGAAAUCUCGGAGCUUAACUCCGAAACUGCAUUCGAUACUGCCGUGCUUGAGGACUGGAGAGGAGACUGGAAUUUACGGUGUAGCGGUGAAAUGCGUAGAUAUCGUAAGGAAGACCGGUGGCGAAGGCGGGUCUCUGGGCAGUAACUGACGCUGAGGAGCGAAAGCGUGGGGAGCGAACAGG